CCUUGCAGUCCAGCCUGUCCAGCCAGUCACCCUGCUCCCUGAUGUUCACACAGCCAAGUGCCAGGGAGCAGAUGGAGGAAGUGCCAUCUGGCUUCUACCGAGCUCGUUCCCAGGCUGGAGCUGGGGGAGCUGCUGGAACAAAGGAUGGCAUUGCUUGGGAGUGCCUGGACUAGAGAGUUUCAGGGGGAAGCAGUCUCUGCGUGGUCCUCUGCCGAUUGCAUCGGGAAAGUCAUUAGAAAGAAUUAAAAAGGAAACAGAAAGAGACGGAAGGGGGGAAAAAACCACAGCCCCAAACAGUUAUAAACUUGAACAAAAGAACAACAGGAUCUUUCUGCUCAAAGCCCUGGGCCACCCUUGACUGUGAAGGACAGCAGUGCUCCAGCCACUGGGAGAAUGGAAGAACGCUUUGGCUGUAUUUCUCCUGGGAUGGUAGUGAUAUGGGUUGCAGGGCUGGUUAUGAAAGCUGUCAUCCAAUUGUUCAGAUGUGGAAAAAAAAAUAUAUAGAGAGAAUUAAAUUAAUUACACAUGGUUGACUCA